GGUAGAAUUUAAAUCUCCUCCAAGCUGAUCAACGAUUGCACCUUUUGAUAUAUAGUAUUUCACCAGAUCUAUCCUGUUGUUGAUUGCAGCCCAGUGGAGAAGUGUCACAUUUUCUUUGUCUGGUUGUCGUACAUCAUAACCUGCUUCCACCAACUCUCUACAUCGUUCAUAUAUUCCAUACUGUGUGGCUUUGACAAUGUCCCAAGUGCUAUAAUCAUCAAUGUGGCUUUUUCGUCCAAGAGAUUCACUAUAUCCAUGGUUGUAAUGGCUUUGAGGCUUUAUUUCCUCGGGGUGCAGGAUGGGGACGCAGCCCGCUUCUUUCUCAUACUCGUCCAGCGGCGCCGCCAUCUUGGUGCGAGCCGCCCGCCCGCUGCAUGCCGGGUACUGCGCGCGCGCGGCCCCUCGCG
rnacentral:lncRNA from 1 species